rnacentral:rRNA from 1 species
UGAUACUUAGUGGCGGACGGGUGAGUAAUGCUUAGGAAUCUGCCUAGUAGUGGGGGAUAACUUGGGGAAACCCAAGCUAAUACCGCAUACGACCUACGGGUGAAAGGGGGCUUUUAGCUCUCGCUAUUAGAUGAGCCUAAGUCGGAUUAGCUGGUUGGUGGGGUAAAGGCCUACCAAGGCGACGAUCUGUAGCUGGUCUGAGAGGAUGAUCAGCCACACUGGGACUGAGACACGGCCCAGACUCCUACGGGAGGCAGCAGUGGGGAAUAUUGGACAAUGGGCGAAAGCCUGAUCCAGCCAUGCCGCGUGUGUGAAGAAGGCCUUUUGGUUGUAAAGCACUUUAAGUGGGGAGGAAAAGCUUAUGGUUAAUACCCAUAAGCCCUGACGUUACCCACAGAAUAAGCACCGGCUAACUCUGUGCCAGCAGCCGCGGUAAUACAGAGGGUGCAAGCGUUAAUCGGAAUUACUGGGCGUAAAGCGCGCGUAGGUGGUUAUUUAAGUCAGAUGUGAAAGCCCCGGGCUUAACCUGGGAACUGCAUCUGAUACUGGAUAACUAGAGUAGGUGAGAGGGGAGUAGAAUUCCAGGUGUAGCGGUG